CGCCUGCGCAGCUCUCACGAUGGGGCGUGGCUUACUUUCAGGUGCUAGUCUUAAGACUCAGCAGCAGUCCCAGGCGCCAUCUUGGGAUUGCCGCUACACCCGCUCCCCACAGGAAGCCUCUGAAGGAAUGGUUUGGCUAACACUACCUGCAUUCUAGAAGGAAAAACAGCUUUAAAAGAAGCCGGACAGGAUGCCAGUGUGAAAGAAAAAACAGAAUGAUUCCAGAAAAAUAAGAAUUGAAAGAAGACUAGUGUUGGCUGAUUUCAGCUCUGUCAGCCCUGGCUUCUCUCUCAGGAAUGUCAAGAUACAGAAUUUUGGGAAUUGAUGCACAACUUCCAAACAAGCAAGCAAGGAUGUAACCCAUCAGAAUUCGCAAACCAAUCCAUUUAACCCAGGAGGUGAAGGGAAGAAUGGCCACCUGACAAAGGAGUGCAAUGAGAUGUGAGACAUUUAUGGCAAGUUUGAAUUUUCUCUUUAAAGGGAAUCUGGAUAUAUAUCCCAUGAAAAAGCAGGAGGGAACAUAGAUAAACAACAUUAUUAGUCUACAGCCUGCAUCAGUCUUAUCUUUAGUAAUCUUCUGAGGUCCCCCAUGCCCUGUGAGUGAUGUAUCCAGGUACAGACUGUCUCUCCCCUGAUAGCAGUAGGGGGUGUUCAGGAUGAUGUGGUGUGGUCCAUUCCACACCAUGGGUGGGCCCCAUUUUCUUUGGAGCAACCAUUCCAGCCUUGAGUUGAGAUAAAAGCAAAGUACUCUCUUCUGUAACCACUUCUCAGCUGAAAUUAGUAUGCUGGCUUCAGGAUCCAUCAAGGCUAGAAUAUUUGUCAUAGGGCAAAGGUUAGGGUUUCAGGUAGUGUAGCGCAUUCAUCAAAAGCAUCUGAUUUUCUGACCCAGCUGACGAGUCAGGCAGCAAUCACAUCAGCUGGACUGAUUCACAUCAGCUGGACUGGCUCACAUCUGCUUUCUGCAAAUCUAAGGUUCAUAGCCAUUUGGAGCAGUUUGGAGUUCACAGAUGAUUCCUGGAUACUGUCUGUCAGCAGAGUGGAAAUCUGCUGGGACAGAUAUAGACUAGAGACAGAAGUGAAAAUUUAAGAACUUAAAAGAAAAUAUUACAUUUAGAACUUCCUCAGGAAUAAGGAGUAGGUGGGGAAGCUUAGGCUAUUGAUUGCAAGAGUCCUUAAAUGGAUUCCAUUUGACCUGUGACAGAUGGAUCCAAGUCAUAACUAAAGCUUACAUGAAUUAAAAGUUUACAAAAGAGACAAAAUUUUAAAUAUGUUAUCAUUAACACUGUUUGUAAUCUGUGCAGAAAUCCACAUUGAAGAAAAAGCAGAAGACCCGCUCCAAUGGGUCAUAAUAAAAUUUUGGGGCCCAAAAAUGUAUUUGGGGUUAAAAGCAUUAACUAACUUUCCUCUGUCCAGAGGGGUAGAUAUAUACACGUUGAACAGUGAUGUUUUUAACAAGAAGCACCUUUUUCUGUUGUCUUAGUUCUUUUCAAAACCUACUUUAAUAAGAGUUCUUAAAUGCUUUAACUUCCCUUCUAGCCUAGUACACACCAGAGGUUGUGUAAAAGAAAGAUUACUAGAACAUGGGGGAAGUGAAACUGUUUAGAAAUAGUUCUUUGGGAUGAUUCCAAUAUUUGUUGUCAGGAUAUCAGCGGUUCAGUCUGCUAGUAAACCACCAAACACAAAUCAGAAUUUUCAGUCCAGCCUACUCAACAGACCCCAUGCACGAAUCAGCAGAGCAGAUCAAUCCAGAAUAAUCCUCCAGAUUGGUGCAAGUCCAUGCAAGUAGCAAGAGGCUGCCAGAACAUCACAAGAAGCUGUCGGACCCCAAGCCCAUUGAAUGGUGCUGCCUGUAUUCUCAAUGAGGCUUUCCAUCUCCAUUGGCCCCAACUAGAAAAUCUCUCAUAGACUUGAGAGCUCUGAGGAAGCUGAGCACAGUUCUAAGUCACCGGAAUACAGCAAGAUGCUAAGGCAAGAAUAUUCAUCAACCAGAGAUGUUGACAAGUAAUGUACAAUUUGUGUGUGGGCUGUCUGUUCUGAUUUACACCACAACCUCUUUUCUACUCCACAGUAAAACUCACAGACAACAGA